rnacentral:rRNA from 1 species
UGACGCAGGCGGUUAUGUAAGUACAGUAUGUGAAAUCCCCCGGGCUCAACCUGGGAACUGCAUUUGUGACUGCAUGGCUAGAGUACGGUAGAGGGGGAGUGGAAUUCCGCGUGUAGCAGUGAAAUGCGUAGAUAUGCGGAGGAACACCGAUGGCGAAGGCAAUCCCCCUGGACCUGUACUGACGCUCAUGCACGAAAGCGUGGGGAGCAAACAGGAUUAGAUACCCCUGU